rnacentral:piRNA from 1 species
UGCUUUGAGAUGGUUUUGCUCUUAUG